UAACCCUCCUUGUUCGUUCGUUCGUUCGUUCGUCGUUCGUCGUUCGUUCGUCGUUCGUUCCUGAGACGCGAGCCUGCUGCCGCGUAGCCCACCACGUGGUUUUAUUGGGCAAAUAACGCCUGUUGGAUGAGAAGUGAAGAGGGUUGAGCGUUAUGCGGAGAGUCUUCUCUUCAGCGGCGGGAGGAACCAGCGAAGCGUACAAGAUCGACUCUAGACGGAGGAAGAUGGAAAGAAAAAGUACAAGAAGAAGAAGCGUUGUGGCGAGGAGAGAGAAGUAGACUAACAUAACUGUGGUGGUGAUAGUAGUAGUAGUGGUGAUGCUGGAAAGACUGUUCAGCUGAACGAUGUACCAGAAACAAGAAGAAAGAAGAAGAGGGAGAGAUAGAGUAGAGAAGAGAAGAGAAGAGAAGAGAUGAGAUGAGAUGAAAUGAAAUGAGAUGAGAUGAGAUGAGAUGAGAAGAGAGGGGUCGGUGAAACGGUCGGAGGCAGAGAGGGCUUUGAUUUAAAAUGCAACGAGGGGCCAAGCGGUAACGGGGUGGGACAGCUCUUCCAGUAAAGGAGAAAGAGAGGUGGCUGCUAUACGGAUGGAUCCUGCCUGGGAGCCAUGUUCCUCCUGUGAAACGCAGAGAGGCCGUGUUCCAGGAUGGAAUCCACGAUGGAAUGAAGAGAAAGAGAGAAAGAGAGAGGAGGAAUAGAAAGAGGAAGAGAGAAAAAGAGGGGAUGCUACCGGCAACGACGAAAGAGGGCGAAGAAGGACGGAAAGAGGCGAUCCUGAAACGGAGUGGUAGUCGUGGCGUUCUUGGUGGUGGAAGCUUCUCCAGCUUCCGUUGAACGAAGAAUUGCAAGGGAGGGUAGCAAAAGAAUUUUGCGUGGCUCGUCGCAACGCGCGCCGCAUCGAGCCAGCCACCUUCGACUUCCACCAUGUAGUAGUUUUCUUUACCCUUCUCCUUUCUUCUUCUUCUUCUUCUUCUUCUUCUUCUUCUUCUUCCUCUUCUCCUCCUCCCUCUUUCUCAUUCUUUCUUCCUAUCUUAUCUCCCAAUAAUUUUUUAUUAGGUCAACUUGUUUGCUCGUCUACCCUUUUUCUUUCUCUCGAUCCUAUUUUUCUUUUACUAAAACUAUCUAACGCAUUAGAGUUCAUUCUUUUUAUAGUUUUGAUUGCUUCGAUAGAUAUUAGAUAAAAACGUAUUUAAGGAGACUAAUUCGGUAUCAAUUAUUGCCGACAAUUAGCUCUAAUGUCUAACUCUCGUCGAUUUAAAACAUUGUCUUUUUAAUAAAUUCGACCCUUUAAAUACGAUUAACCUCAGAUAAUACUCCAUUUUGCGAAAGAGCCUUGUAGUAAAAGGGGGCGUGAUCAUAACGUGUCCUUGAGUGACGGUAGACAGACAGACAGGGACUUAAGUUCGUGCCACCGGGCUGAACUUUAGGGUGACGGAUGAUUUAGCACGGGAUUUCUCCUGUCAAUAUAGCGAAUAUCCUGCCAUGGUCCUACAGCUUUCUUGAUACUCAUCGGAGGGAUAUGUCAAUAUAUCUUUUUAUCUUUGCCCUUUCAUUCUGCUUUUUAGCCAUUAGUCGAUCACAUUACUGAUAUGUUUGUACGAUCGGUUAAUAUAUUUUGAUCGUAAAAUAUUUGAACAAACUUGUUAGAAAGAAUCCUUUAAUUAAAUGUAAAUAUUAUAUCUUAAAAAUAAAAUCGAAUAUAGUAAAUCUGAUCUCAGGUGAACACAAAUUGUGCAGAAGACAAACUAAUGUAAACGAUCAAUAGAUGUCAACUUUGAUGAAUCCAGUUUGUUAAACCACGAAGUAAAUUCUGAGAAGGAUUCACAGGGAUGAAGACUCGGUUAUGGAUGUGACAGCUCAAUAAGGGUGAAAAAAGAUGACUGUUCGAGAGAGAGAAAUAGUUCACCCAAGGAAUUCGCUCGUCAAUCCAUAUCUCUUUUCGUUCGGAUCCCUUCAUCUUAAUACUUGGAUCAGGAAAAACAAAAAUGAAGAAUGAGAUAAGAAAAGACACUGUAAGGGACAAAAAUACGAAGAAAUAUGAAAAUAAGAAGAAGAAGAAGGAAAAGAAGAAGAAGAAGAAAGUAACGAAGAAUGUCGUAAUCUCGAGAAACGAGCUACAAAUUGGCAUAUCUGGUGGUUCGCGUUAAUCUCAGCCAUCAUCCCCAUAGGAAUUUCGAGAGACAUUUCGAGGACUCGACUCUCGAGACACAAAAUGAGCCGGAUUAAAUGUAAUAUACCAGUCGCUAGCUUCAUUUGGGAAAUGAGACCGCCCGACCGUCUUCCACAGCCGAUUGAAUUAUUCUCCAGGCGUGAAUAGACUCGAACAAGUUUUAUACUAACGUGUAACGUAACUAACUGAUAUUCUAACAUUCAAUAGGGAAAUUUCAAUUAAAAUGCAAA
rnacentral:lncRNA from 1 species